rnacentral:rRNA from 1 species
GGGCCAAGGGGGGAGGACUACACAUGCAAGUCGAACGGUAGCACAGAGAGCUUGCUCUCGGGUGACGAGUGGCGGACGGGUGAGUAAUGUCUGGGAAACUGCCUGAUGGAGGGGGAUAACUACUGGAAACGGUAGCUAAUACCGCAUAACGUCGCAAGACCAAAGAGGGGGACCUUCGGGCCUCUUGCCAUCAGAUGUGCCCAGAUGGGAUUAGCUAGUAGGUGGGGUAACGGCUCACCUAGGCGACGAUCCCUAGCUGGUCUGAGAGGAUGACCAGCCACACUGGAACUGAGACACGGUCCAGACUCCUACGGGAGGCAGCAGUGGGGAAUAUUGCACAAUGGGCGCAAGCCUGAUGCAGCCAUGCCGCGUGUAUGAAGAAGGCCUUCGGGUUGUAAAGUACUUUCAGCGGGGAGGAAGGUGUUGAGGUUAAUAACCUCAUCAAUUGACGUUACCCGCAGAAGAAGCACCGGCUAACUCCGUGCCAGCAGCCGCGGUAAUACGGAGGGUGCAAGCGUUAAUCGGAAUUACUGGGCGUAAAGCGCACGCAGGCGGUCUGUCAAGUCGGAUGUGAAAUCCCCGGGCUCAACCUGGGAACUGCAUUCGAAACUGGCAGGCUAGAGUCUUGUAGAGGGGGGUAGAAUUCCAGGUGUAGCGGUGAAAUGCGUAGAGAUCUGGAGGAAUACCGGUGGCGAAGGCGGCCCCCUGGACAAAGACUGACGCUCAGGUGCGAAAGCGUGGGGAGCAAACAGGAUUAGAUACCUGUGGUAGUCCAAA